rnacentral:rRNA from 1 species
UGGGGAAUCUUGGACAAUGGGGGCAACCCUGAUCCAGCGAUGCCGCGUGGGUGAAGAAGGCCUUCGGGUUGUAAAGCCCUUUAGGUCGGGACGAAGGUAGCUACCGGAUAAUGGUGGUUAUUUGACGGUACCGACAGAAUAAGCACCGGCAAACUCUGUGCCAGCAGCCGCGGUAAUACAGAGGGUGCGAGCGUUAAUCGGAAUUACUGGGCGUAAAGGGCGCGUAGGCGGUUUAAUAGGUGUGAUGUGAAAGCCCUGGGCUUAACCUAGGAAGUGCAUCGCAAACGAUUAAACUGGAGUAGAUGAGAGGGUGGCGGAAUUUCCGGUGUAGCGGUGAAAUGCGUAGAGAUCGGAAGGAACGUCGAUGGCGAAGGCAGCCACCUGGCAUCAUACUGACGCU